rnacentral:pre_miRNA from 1 species
AGGAGGAACAGCCCCAGUGGCGGGGCCAGCUCUGCAGCCCUGGAGUCAGCUCCCACAGUAGCUCCAGAGCUCUCCGUCUGCAGGGCCUGGAUGCUCCGGGGCGGG